UAGUCUGUAUGGAUAGUCGCUUCGCGAGGUAGAAAUACUUUGCGGGGAGGAAAGUCCGAACACGCGCUAACAAUUGUUAGCAAAACGGUAGUGGGUAACACCCAUCUGGAGCAAUCCAAGAGGUGCGAACAGUGAUGCUUUCAAGCGAAAGCGAGAAAGCCCCCGUGAGAUGUCGCGCAAGCGCUGUCUCACGGGGGAAUUCCCAAGGCGACCUGGGAAGUGCAACAGCUAAAUCCUUACUUGCGUGCAAGGCCGUACUCUGGUUGCUAGAAACUAGUCUCUAGAAUCCAGUUUGUGCCGCUAGAUUCCGACGGUAACGUCGGAACCAGAUAAAUGACUGUCGCCCCGUGAGAUGUCGCGCAAGCGCUAUCUCACGGGGUACAGAAUUCGGCUUAUAGUACAGAUAAUAAA
rnacentral:RNase_P_RNA from 3 species